GGRAARRWUUCAUCGGUAUGGGAUGGGGUCGCGUCCUAUCAGGUAGUCGGCGGGGUAACGGCCCACCGAGCCUACGACGGGUAGCCGGCCUGAGAGGGCGACCGGCCACAUUGGGACUGAGAUACGGCCCAGACUCCUACGGGAGGCAGCAGUGGGGAAUAUUGCACAAUGGGCGCAAGCCUGAUGCAGCGACGCCGCGUGCGGGAUGACGGCCUUCGGGUUGUAAACCGCUUUUGAUCGGGAGCAAGCCUUCGGGUGAGUGUACCUUUCGAAUAAGCACCGGCUAACUACGUGCCAGCAGCCGCGGUAAUACGUAGGGUGCAAGCGUUAUCCGGAAUUAUUGGGCGUAAAGGGCUCGUAGGCGGUUCGUCGCGUCCGGUGUGAAAGUCCAUCGCUUAACGGUGGAUCUGCGCCGGGUACGG
rnacentral:rRNA from 1 species